rnacentral:snRNA from 1 species
GCGCUUCCAUGUGCGUCCCUCCCGAAGCUGCGCGCUCGGUCGAAGAGGACGACCAUCCCCGAUAGAGGAGGACCGGUCUUCGGUCAAGGGUAUACGAGUAGCUGCGCUCCCUGCUAGAACCUCCAAACAAGCUCUCAAGAAGGAAUAGUUUCAGUUUGGAAUAGUUUCAGAAGCAACUCUUUGUACCUGUGGUAGAAUUUGG